GAUGAACGCUGGCGGCGUGCUUAACACAUGCAAGUCGAACGGAAAGGCGCGGCGUUUGUGGGUUGCUCGAGUGGCGAACGGGUGAGUAACACGCGAGUAAACUCCCCUUGACUUAGGGAGAAAUUCAGGAAAAUGGGGCGAAUACCGCAUAGGAGCUCCUGCUCCACGGGGGGGGAUGGAAAGAGUCGGCGGUGGGGGAUCGUCUCGCUGCUUAUGCGCUUGUUUGUGAGGUAGGGGCUUUCGAGGGCUUCGACGGGUAGGCGGCCUUGGAGGGUGGACGGGCACAAUGGGACUGAGAGACGGCGCAGACUCCUACGGGACGCAGUAGUGGGGAAUAUUACACAAUGGGGGGAAGCCUGAUGCAGAAACGUCGCGUGCGGGAAGACGGGUUUCGAGUUGUAAACCGAUUUCGCAUGUGACGAAGCGUGCGUGACGGUAACGGGUCAGAAAGCACCGGCUAACUACGUG
rnacentral:rRNA from 1 species